GACGAACGCUGGCGGCGUGCUUAACACAUGCAAGUCGAUCGAUGAAGCCGGAGCUUGCUCUGGUGAAUUAGUGGCGAACGGGUGAGUAACACGUGAGUAACCUGCCCUUGACUUUGGGAUAACUGCUAGAAAUGGUAGCUAAUACCGGAUAGGACCACUGCCUGCAUGGGUGGUGGUGGAAAGCUUUUGCGGUGUGGGAUGGGCCCGCGGCCUAUCAGCUUGUUGGUGGGGUGAUGGCCUACCAAGGCGACGACGGGUAGCCGGCCUGAGAGGGUGACCGGCCACACUGGGACUGAGAUACGGCCCAGACUCCUACGGGAGGCAGCAGUGGGGAAUAUUGCACAAUGGGCGCAAGCCUGAUGCAGCGACGCCGCGUGAGGGAUGACGGCCUUCGGGUUGUAAACCUCUUUCAGCACCGACGAAGCGCAAGUGACGGUAGGUGCAGAAGAAGGACCGGCCAACUACGUGCCAGCCGCCGCGGUAA
rnacentral:rRNA from 1 species